GAUGAACGCUAGCGGGAGGCCUAACACAUGCAAGCUGAGCGGUAGAGUUUCUUCGGAGACUUGAGAGCGGCGUACGGGUGCGGAACACGUGUGCAACCUGCCUUUAUCAGGGGGAUAGCCUUUCGAAAGGAAGAUUAAUACCCCAUAAUAUAUAGAGUGGCAUCACUUUAUAUUGAAAACUGAGGUGGAUAAAGAUGGGCACGCGCAAGAUUAGAUAGUUGGUGAGGUAACGGCUCACCAAGUCGAUGAUCUUUAGGGGGCCUGAGAGGGUGAUCCCCCACACUGGUACUGAGACACGGACCAGACUCCUACGGGAGGCAGCAGUGAGGAAUAUUGGACAAUGGGUUAGCGCCUGAUCCAGCCAUCCCGCGUGAAGGACGACGGCCCUAUGGGUUGUAAACUUCUUUUGUACAGGGAUAAACCUAUUUACGUGUAAAUAGCUGAAGGUACUGUACGAAUAAGCACCGGCUAACUCCGUGCCAGCCGCCGCGGUAAAAC
rnacentral:rRNA from 1 species